rnacentral:lncRNA from 10 species
CUUCAGCCUGACUCCCUCUAGGAUCUGAAAGCGUCCGUGGCCCCGCGCCAGCCCCGCCCCGAGAAACCCUGCCUCGGACCGGAAGGUGUCCCCGAGGCGGUCGCGGAAGUAGAGGAAGCCUUCGCGGUCCAUGGCCAGUACGUCCCCGGUGUUGUAGUAAACGUCGCCCGAUUGCCGCACGUUGCGCACCAGCUUCCGUUCCGACAGCUCUCGGGGGCCGCGGUAGCCCACGAAGGGUUGCUGGCUUACCACCUUGGUCAGCAGCAGCCCCGGCUCCCCUGGGGUAGGAGCAGGAACAAGAACCCCUGGAGCCCACCAGCCAAGCCCCCUGCUGGAGGUUUUCAACAACGGUGGACUCUUCAUCACCCAGCACCCUGCCAAGGACAGACCCAAAGACACAGACAGGGAGAUCCAGAGAUGAGAGAGACAUUCAGAGACCUUGAGAGACUGCGACAAGCGACACAGAAAAUGAGAGAGAAGUAUAGAGAAGGCGGUAUGGGGAGCCCAUGAGAAACAGGAAAAGGAUAACAAGGGAUGGAAGACGGACAGACAAAUGGCAGUGAGAAUAGAUAUGACCAGGACCUUGCAAGGCCCUGGGAGAAGACACUAACAGAAGGUACAGGACAAGGGACCAAUGGCUGGAAUGCCGUCUUCCACAGAAAGCUCAAGAGAACAAAUCAGAUGGACACCCAGAGACCCAGUAAAUCAGAGCAAGAGAUCAAGGCAGGGGAGCUGGACAGAGCCGAGAAGCUGAGGCGGAGGCCCCAGAUGGUGGUAAGGCAGGCCACUGGCUCAGGGUCCAGAUGAAGGCUGCAGACCCCUCUAGUGAGCACCAACGUCAAGCUUUUGAGCAGCUCGUUCCAGCCAAGCAGAAGACUGAGGGUCGCCACCCCUGCCACCCAGGAAAGGCUCCUCAACCCCCAUACCUAGCCCUACAGGGAUGCAGAAGCCCUGAUUGUCCCUCACAGGCUCCGCCGCCUCCAUGUCGAACUGCACCAGCUCAAAGGGGGACAGCAUCUGGGGUGGAGGGUGGAGUGUUGACAUAGGUCCUGUGGGCUCAGCCUCAGGGCAGCUGCACACCAGGUACCCGCACACUCACUCGGAGGAGGCAGCUCAUCUUGCCCAGGGCCCCGCAGCGCCCCACAUAGUUGACUAAGCCCAUGUUGCCUUCUGUGGAGCCGUAGACUUCCCAGAUCCGAAUAGGACCGAAGCGCUGCUGGAAGGUCUCCCACACAUCAGCCCGUAGUCCAUUGCCCAUUGCCAGGCGGACUGUAUGUGUCCGGUCCUCUGGUUGCUACAGGAAUGUCCCCAGAAGGCCCCACGCCGACACUUACUCCCGUGGUCCUGUAGACUGGAGGGAUCCUCAGAAGUGGGCUUACCGAGAUCUAAGCAGCCGAGGAUCCCAACGACAAGUCCCAUCACGUGGUACAGAGGCAGGACCGUGUAAACCACAUCAUCAGCUGUGGCCCCAGAUAAGGACAGCAUCUUGCUCAUCUGCAGUACCCGCUCAUGCGUGAGGAUGGCUGGCUUCGGGAGGCCUUGGGAUGAAGGCAUGGCAAGGGCAGGGUGGUGACAUGACAGCACAGAGAGGGGCCUGACCAGAGGGAUAGAUCUCCAACAGCCAGGCCUACAUUGGGGUUUGAGGCUCUCAGAGAACAGUCAAGUAUAGGGAUUUGUGGUUGGGUUCACAGGCUGAAUUUGGACUGAAAGUAAUAUGUCAAGAUCAAAGGUUUCAGUGGCUGUUUACUGGACACAGGAAGAAUUCUGGCAUUGACCUCUCAAAUUACAUUGGGGGUCAGAGUUCAGGCCAAAUAUCAAAAUCAAGUCUGGGAGCAGUGGCUCACGCCUGUAAUCCCAGCAUUUUGAGAGGCUGAGUUGGGCAGGUCCCCUGAGGUCAGGGGUUAGAGACCAGCCUGGCUAACUUGGGGAAACCCUGUCUCUACCAAAAAUACAAAAAUUAGCUGGGCAUAGUGGUGUGUGCCUGUAAUCCCAGCUACUCAGGAGGCUGAGGCAAGAGAAUUGCUUGAACCCAGGAGGUGGAGGUUGCAGUGAGCCGAGAUUGCACCACUGCAGUCCAGCCUAGGCGACAGAGCGAGACUCUGCCUCGAAAAAAAAAACAGCCAAACAAAAAACAAAUGUCAAAAUCAGAGGGUAAAGUGGUUUCAGAGGUCAACACUGAGUCACAAGUCAAGUGUGGGGUCAGGUCAGCCUGAGAGUUCAGAGGCUGGUGCUAGGGCUAAUGGGCACCCUCACCAGUGGUCCCCGAGGUAUAGAUGAAGAGGGCAGGGCUUCUCCAUGUGAUCCCAGCACGCAGGUCAGCAGGCACUGGGUGGGAGGGCGCUGCAUCCAGGGCAGCCCCCAGAGCCCCCACCCCUGGUGUAGGGGAGGUAUGGCUGAGGUAGAAGCAGCGGAUGUUCUCAGCCUGCAGCUUGGGAAGGAUCUCCUCCAGGCUCUCCCGGAGGUCUGCAGAGAUGGGUCAGAGGAGAAACAGAGGCAAGGCUCACCUUUGAGGUUGCGAGGCGGGAUCUGAGACCCACAGAUGCAGGCAGAGGAGCAGCUAGUAGAGAAAAGCAUCCAU